GGACAUCCUGGCCAAGGCUCCUACUUCAAGGCUUGGUGAUGUCUUGUGGAAGAGCUACUUGAAUGGCUCAACUCUCUCUUGCUGGAGUCGAGCAGCGCCUCUUAAGUCCUCCCCCUCAGACCCAAGUCUCAGAGGGAUGAGAGGGAGAUUCCUGGUCUCCCCUCCAUGGACAAGGACACACCUCCUCACUAACAUUGUCCCCUCCAUUGCCCAACCUUUCACACGACUCAUGGAUCUCUUCCUACUUCUGCUAUCCCUGUCGUGGAGCUCCACCUCUAACUCCUUCUUCCCAAGUCCCCAUUACACCAGGACCGGUUCCAGAUAUUGAAGAGAUCUUAGUGAGGAAGACCACUUCUGGCAGAGUCCCCACCUUAACUCUAUGUAAGGUGUGGACACUCCCCAUGGCCCCGAGAUGAGGACCCUCCCAUGGGCCCCGAAAUGAGGACCCUUUCAUGGUUUAAAACAGCCUCUUGACCUCUAUCCUCAAAGAAUCUGAAUCCUUCUUUUUCAGAGAAACUCCAGGGUUUAACUUUUCUCUUGGAGACUAUACCCAUCAGCCAACUUGGGAUGACUGUCAACAACUCCUGAGAUGUUCUUUUCCUCACAGGCCUGGGAAUGCAUCUUCUGGGAAGCCAGGAAAUUGCUUCCUAGUGACAACAGUCACCCUUCAUAUGCCCAGAUUGGAACCCUAAUGAGGCAGCAGCCCAUGGUAACCUUGAAAGUGGAGGAAAAACCAAUGGACUUUCUGGUAGGCAUGGAAGCCAACUGAAGGAACCAAAGUGACUCCUAGCCACGAGAUGCAGCCUGGUGCUAAACAAUACCCCCAGUACAAGGAAAUGCCAUGUCAACCUCGAAAAAGAUGAUGUUACUCCAAUAUGCAGAUGACCUCAUCAGGGCAGCCAGCCAACAUGGACACGUGCACAAUGGCCACUCAAGAGCUCCUAGGACCUCUCCAAUGCCUGAGAUACUUGAUGGAUGUGCACCAAGAAGGCCCAACUCUGCAACCGGAAUGCCACAUACUUGGGAUUCCAUGAAGGGAGGAAGUCCUAGUUUAUGUCAUGUGAACAGGAAAUCUUGGGUUGGCGAGAUGGCUCAACGGCUAAGAACACUUAUUGCUCUUCUGAAGGCCCUGAGUUCAAAUCCCAGCAAUCACAUGGUGGCUCACAACCACCUAUAAUGAGAUCUGAUGCCCUCUUCUGGUGUGUCUGAACUCAGCUACAGGGUACUUAUGUUUAAUAAUAAAUAAAUCUUUGAGCCAGAGUGAGCAAGUUUGACCAGAGCGAGCGGGGCCGAGUGGAGCUAGUAAAGGUCCUAAAAUUUCAAUUCCGAACAACCACAUGAAGGCCCACAACCAUCUGUACAGCUACAGUGUACUCACAUAAAAUAAAGAAAUCUUUAAAAAAAAAAAAA
ensembl:antisense